UGAGGAAUAUUGGUCAAUGGGCGGAAGCCUGAACCAGCCAAGUCGCGUGAGGGAAGAAGGCCCUGCGGGUCGCAGACCUCUUUGGACGGGGAGCAAGGCCGCCGACGUGUCGGCGGAAGGAGAGUACCCGUAGAACUAGCAUCGGCUAACUCCGUGCC
rnacentral:rRNA from 1 species